GAUGAACGCUGGCGGCGUGCUUAACACAUGCAAGUCGAACGAAGCAAUUUAGCGGAAGUUUUCGGAUGGAAGCUAGAUUGACUGAGUGGCGGACGGGUGAGUAACGCGUGGGUAACCUGCCUCACACUGGGGGACAACAGUUAGAAAUGACUGCUAAUACCGCAUAAGCGCACAGGACCGCAUGGUCCGGUGUGAAAAACUCCGGUGGUGUGAGAUGGACCCGCGUUUGAUUAGCUAGUUGGUGGGGUAACGGCCUACCAAGGCGACGAUCAAUAGCCGACCUGAGAGGGUGACCGGUCACAUUGGGACUGAGACACGGCCCAAACUCCUACAGGAGGCAGCAGUGGGGAAUAUUGCACAAUGGGGGAAACCCUGAUGCAGCGACGCCGCGUGAGUGAAGAAGUAUUUCGGUAUGUAAAGCUCUAUCAGCAGGGAAGAA
rnacentral:rRNA from 1 species